AGCGCACGCUGGCGGCAGGCUUAACACAUGCAAGUCGAGCGGGCAUAGCAAUAUGUCAGCGGCAGACGGGUGAGUAACGCGUGGGAACGUACCUUUUGGUUCGGAACAACACAGGGAAACUUGUGCUAAUACCGGAUAAGCCCUUACGGGGAAAGAUUUAUUGCCGAAAGAUCGGCCCGCGUCUGAUUAGCUAGUUGGUGAGGUAAUGGCUCACCAAGGCGACGAUCAGUAGCUGGUCUGAGAGGAUGAUCAGCCACAUUGGGACUGAGACACGGCCCAAACUCCUACGGGAGGCAGCAGUGGGGAAUAUUGGACAAUGGGCGCAAGCCUGAUCCAGCCAUGCCGCGUGAGUGAUGAAGGCCCUAGGGUUGUAAAGCUCUUUUGUGCGGGAAGAUAAUGACGGUACCGCAAGAAUAAGCCCCGGCUAACUUCGUGCCAGCAGCCGCGGUAA
rnacentral:rRNA from 1 species